GGGCCCAUAGCUUAGCAUGGUUGGAGCACCCGGCUGAUAACCGGGAGGUCACCGGUCCGAAUCCGGUUGGGCCCACCA
rnacentral:tRNA from 2 species